rfam:Ovis aries breed Texel chromosome 1, whole genome shotgun sequence.
UUCCUGGUAGCUCAGAUGGUAAAGAAUCUGCCUGCAAUGCAGGAGAUCCAGGUUCCACCCCUGGGUGGGAAA